GGGGAAGGAGUGUAGGUCAGUGGUAGGGUAUCUACUUUGCCUGCAGAAGGUCCCAGAUUUGAUUCCUGGCAUCUCCA